rnacentral:rRNA from 1 species
GCGUGAGGGACGACGGCCUUCGGGUUGUAAACCUCUUUCAGCGGGGACGAAGCGAAAGUGACGGUACCCGCAGAAGAAGCACCGGCUAACUACGUGCCAGCAGCCGCGGUAAUACGUAGGGUGCAAGCAUUGUCCGGAUUUAUUGGGCGUAAAGAGCUCGUAGGCGGCUUGUCACGUCGGGCGUGAAAACUCGGGGCUUAACCCCGAGCCUGCGCUCGAUACGGGCUAGCUAGAGUGUUGCAGGGGAGACUGGAAUUCCUGGUGUAGCGGUGAAAUGCGCAGAUAUCAGGAGGAACACCGGUGGCGAAGGCGGGUCUCUGGGCAACUACUGACGCUGAGGAGCGAAAGCGUGGGGAGCGAACAGGAUUAGAUACCCUGGUAGUCCACGCCGUAAACGUUGGGCGCUAGGUGUGGGGAACCUUCCACGUUCUCCGUGCCGUAGCUAACGCAUUAAGCGCCCCGCCUGGGGAGUACGGCCGCAAGGCU